UGCACUUUCAAACUCUUCUCCCUCUAUAUAAUCCUUAAAAUCUCCUCGGAAACCUACGCAUAUUCAUAGGAAGACAAUCUUACGUAAACACGACAUGCAAGCACAGGGAUCGACGCUACCAACGAAGUCUCCUUCUCCGUCCAAUUCUCCAGCGACUUGACCGACCAAUUGUCUGCCGUUUCAUCUCCAACUUCAAAGUCCCCCGAAGAGCGUCGUUUGCAACGCGCGUUUGUAUACAAAAAUCUGUAUAUAAACUCAACGAUCAAAAGGUUUCAGAAUUCACAAAGAGAAUUGAAACGAGUCUGUCAACUCUAAUGACAAAACCAAACCCUGGGAAAAUUUCAUCUCCUAUUCCACCCGUUCUUCCCCUCCAAAAAUUGGUUGUAUGGCAAUGAGCCCAAGGAGAUUCACCCGCUUGAAGUCGUACUAGCCAGCCCUGACCGCCACAUGGUGGGCCAGAUUCCCUCCGGCACUCUCUCCGGCAAGGAAACAAUGCCCAAGAUCAGAGUUGGCAGUUAGAUCGUGGCUGUCCAUUUCGUCGAUGAAUCUCAACGCGUCGGACCCGUCUUCAUACUGGCACGGAAACCUCUGCUGUGGAAGAGUGCCGAAGUGUGUGGAAGGUGCUUGCCAUUCAAUCAGAGUGUCUAAGUGUCUAAGAGAGACAACGUCGUUCUCAUUCAAUUAGAGUACAAGGGGCUAGAAAUAUGGCUGUUGGGGGUGGUUUCUAUGGUGUUUGGCAUUGGGUGCUGGCUGGGCUUUGGUGGAUUGCUUUUCCUGAGGUGGUUCGAAAAUGCGGCUGUGUGGCGAGGAGCCCCUGCGUGCGGACUGGGCAUGGGGGAGGCCACGACGUGAGAUUCGAUUUAAAAUUGUGUUGUGGUAAUUGCAUGUUGCAUCGACCUGAGCUGUCUCAUGUUAUUUAUCCAUUUAAUUGCAUGCAUUGUGUAGACCGUUCAGGGGCUAAAAUUCCAUUGCUUUGGGAGCAAACUGUUGAUUUUAGAUAUAUAUAACCCUAAGUUUGAAAUCGUGAAUGAUCUUGAUCAGGAUAAAGCAGUGAGUGUUGAAGUUUCUUUGUUCAUUGAUGGCAUGUAAUUUUUUUAUCAUAAUUCAAAUGCUAGAUCUACUUGCUUUUGAAUAUCUUAUAUAUGUGCAGCCUCGAGUAAUAGAGGGUCGAGCAGCAUUUUCUGGAUUUGAGGUAAAAAAAAAAGGAGGCUGUACAUGACGUUCGCAAAAAUAGGUACAGAUCAUUUUGUUCGAUGCAUGAUUGCAUGUUGUCUAAUUUUUGACAAUUACUGAUCA